AUGGAUGCAUUAGAUCAAGAACAACAGACUUCUAGUAUGGUUGAUGUCUUGAUGAUGUAUUUUUCAUUAUGGGAAAAUGCAUCAGAAAAUCAAUAUCAAGUCAUCAAUAUCAAGCAUUGAUGGCACAUGUAUGUGCUGUUAUAAACAUGUCAUGUGGUUUGCUUGAAGAAAAAUUUUGUGGACAGUUGCGCAAUAGAUUUAGACACGGCUAUUCUGCAGGCUAUUUAGAUUUAGCCCAAGCUUAUAAUGUUUUGCCGACAAGUAUUCAGCAAGGAUCUAUUCAUACGUCAGAUACAGAGCUUGCAAGAUUAAUCUUUCUGGCAUACUUGAAUAAUGCAGAAAUAAUUAGUAUAGAAACUCAGAAGUGUAGUUUAUCAUCAAUGAAUACUUUUACUGAUAGAUGAACAUGAUCAUUUGCUUUGACAAUUCUAGUUGGAAUAAUAAGUUUUUAAAAAUAGCCUAACAGAACCAAAUUACUUUACACUGGUAGGCAUAAUGACAGUAUACGUAACUGCUUGUUUGGAAAAAUUAGUUUUGAAAUCUACGUUUAAUAGGGCUGGUGAGCUCAUCAUAUUUGAUAAAGAAGUUUGAUCUUUUGCAAGUUAUUUGGCUACAAUGACUUUGUGAUUUAUUAGAGACAAAUUUGCCAGGCUUACGUAAACACCACAAUUGUGGGUAUCGAAAAAAUGAAAGAACUUGCUGAUUAUUGUGGUGCAGAUGCUAUAGCAAGGUGUUUAACGCCAACUGAAGUGAGAAAGAUUUUAGCUUUAAGGAUAGAUAUUAAAAGAUUCAAAAUUUAAUAGUAUCAUAAUAACCAAGGCAAAUUGUUGGAUUUUGUAUUUAGUGCUGUUUACAGUUUCACUGUAAUAAACUAACAAAAGACUCGAAACAAGCUUAUAAAAACAAUAUUAAUAAAGUUUCAUGACCUACAUGUUUCUUUCUUCUGUAAAAUAGUUACUUUAGGCAACAGAGAAAUAUAACAACAAAAUAAUUUAAAAAUAUUUUAUAAAGUAAAAAAAGAACAAUAUAGUCUUGUCUGAAUCUGAAAUAACGCAUUAUUAAAAAUCAUAACUAUAAAGUUAUAAAUAUAUUUUGUAAAUGUUAUAGCCAAACAAAAGACAUUUAAUCAUUCAAAAAUAAUUAUUGCUUUUUAAAAUGCGAAAAGUAUUUUUACACUAUAUUUGUUAAAGGUUUAAGUUCUUUUGUUAGUACAUAUGAUUUUUAUAAAUAACAAAUCACCUUAAACAUUUUAUAUACAUCUGGCGUUCAUUAUUAAAAUAAAAAAAAACAGUUUAAAUGAAUUAUAUCAAUAUGACAUCUCAGUACCUGUACU